rnacentral:rRNA from 1 species
GACGAACGCUGGCGGCGUGCUUAACACAUGCAAGUCGAGCGGUAAGGCCUCUUAGGGGGUACACGAGCGGCGAACGGGUGAGUAACACGUGGGUGACCUGCCCUCAGCUCUGGGAUAAGCCUGGGAAACUGGGUCUAAUACCGGAGAUGACCUUUCCUCGCAUGGGGUUUGGUGGAAAGUUCUUUCGGCUGGGGAUGGGCCCGCGGCCUAUCAGCUUGUUGGUGGGGUGAUGGCCUACCAAGGCGACGACGGGUAGCCGGGCUGAGAGGGCGACCGGCCAGACUGGGACUGAGACACGGCCCAGACUCCUACGGGAGGAAGCAGUGGGGAAUAUUGCGCAAUGGGCGGAAGCCUGACGCAGCGGCGCCGCGUGGGGGAUGACGGCCUUCGGGUUGUAAACCUCUUUCGACCCGGACGAAUUUGGACGGUAGGGGUAGAAGAAGCACCGGCCAACUACGUG